UGCCAGCAGCCGCGGUAAUACGGAAGGUGCAAGCGUUAAUCGGAAUUACUGGGCGUAAAGCGCGCGUAGGUGGUUUGUUAAGUUGGAUGUGAAAGCCCUGGGCUCAACCUAGGAACUGCAUCCAAGACUAACUCACUAGAGUACGAUAGAGGGAGGUAGAAUUCCAAGUGUAGAGGUGAAAUUCGUAGAUAUUUGGAGGAACACCAGUGGCGAAGGCGGCUCACUGGCUCGAUACUGACGCUGAGGUACGAAAGUGUGGGGAGCAAACAGGAUUAGAUA
rnacentral:rRNA from 1 species